GGAAAAGAAAGAUGACUUGGACAAAAACGGAAAUAUACUAUAGUAUGUUGUUUGUUCUCUUAUCUUGGCUUUCCGACUUUUCUCUUUUUCUGUUCUUUGGAUCUCCAUUGGAUCGUUUUUGUGU
rnacentral:ribozyme from 1 species